GUCUUCCUGAUUACCUGCUACCUGCUUGAAAGGCCCGUCUCCCCCCUCCAGUCUGUCGACGACAGUGAGACAUCACUGCUCCAGGAAUGGGUACUGACACCAUGCCAGAGAGAGACUGGAGCAUUCCUGACAGUACGCUGUCCACUCCCCAAACCUAGCUCGGCCGUCUCAUCCAUACAGCUGACAAUGCAUAGCUUAUUUAAUGGUCAUUUUCUCUUGAAGUCAGGUAACAUGUUCCCGAGCUCUGCAUAUAUGGAUGUGUUUCUGUGUGUAUAUCUCCACGUUCCAGCCAUGUCUUGUGGGUACGUGCUUGUCUAGUGUUUGUGCUAGAGGGUAAAAUUGCAAGCCUAUUGAAUGCUGCUAACACCCACCUGCCUCAGUGUGCAUAUAACACACAGACACAAUCAGCCAUUUGUCUGACUGGUUAUCAACAACCACCAGCAGUCUGCCCCACAGCAUUAUAUUAUUCCCUGCGCAUGCAGUCCGGGGAUCCAGCGUGAGACAAGCUCUCCAUUUGAAUGCAGAGGCACAGCGCCUGAUUCAAAGCUGCUGUUCGCAACCAAGUGCCUGAGCCACCAUGGACUGAGCCAUAGACAAGUGAAAGUGAGAUAACGUCACACGCUUCACAGACAACACAGUAAAGCAAGAGGAUCUUAACCAGCAAGAGACCAUGAACAUAAUUGGACCCACAAGAAACAUUCAUCUUGAUUACAUUCAAUUUGAACCAGUAAGGAUUGGAGGUGGGCAGCUGAAAUAUCUGGACUAGCAAGUACACAAUGGCACAACCUUGCAAAACACUGAUAUUAAAGAGAAAGAAGGAAAGACCGAUGAAACAAUAGAUGAGCAUUGAAAUAUUAGACUAGCAUGCUGAAGGUCAGUGUCAUUGCUUAUUGUCCUGACAUACUCAUAAUUACUCAUAAUUACAUUAUUAUAUUAUUAAUUUUAAAUAAAUUAUAUAUUGAGCUGUG